CUGACAGCUGUAGAGGGCAAAAGGGGGCAGCGGAGAAUUAGACGGAGUUUUAAACAGUAAUAAACAACUAAAGAACUGUGGAUGCUGGCGAACUGAAACACACCAAAACAGAAAUCGUCGGAGAAAGGCAGCAUGACCGGUAGUAGAGAUAAUAGGAACUGCAGAUGCUGGAGAGUCCGAGAUAACUAAGUGUAAACCUGGAUGUACACAGCAGGCCAAAUUGUGCUCCUAAGAUGCUACAGGAAGGAUGUACACCACAGGCCAAAUUGUGCUCCUAAGAUGCUGCUUGGCCUGCUGUGUUCAUUCAGCUUCACAGUUUGUUAUCUCUUUAUGUCCGGUAGUAUCUGUGUGAAGAAAGCGGAGACACCCUGAAACGUUAACUCUGCCCUCUCUGACCACAGAUGCCGCCGGACCGGCUGAGCUUCUCCUGCGAUUUCUGCUUUCGUACCACUCAGAUUUUUGAUGCAAAAACAGUUUUUAUUCGUUUAAACAAAAAACCUCCAUGCACACACAGUUACGAAAGCAGAGAUAACAAAGUGUGGAACUGAAUGAACACAGUAGGCCAAGCAGCAUCUUAGGAAAGCUGACGUUUCGGGCCUAGACUCGGCCUGCUGUGUUCAUCCAGCUCUACACCUUGUUAUCUUGGAUUCUCCAGCAUCUGCAGUUCCCAUUAUCUCGGUUACGAAAGCAGUUCGGUUUUGUAUCCGGGAAGAAUGAUGUUGUCAACUGUGUCAAAGACUGAAGACAGGUCAAGAAGGAUGAGGAGCAAUAAAGCUGCAGUCACAGGGCAUCUCAUUUAUGACUUUGGUGAAUUAUUCACUCGGUUAUGACAUACUGGAUGCCCAUGCCUGUAUAAGGGGUCCUGUCAAUGAGAUAUGAGAUGGCUUAUGUUGGCAGAGACAAACUGGGAGACAAUUGCUGAUGGCCAUGACCUCUGGAGGAGCAUUGAAAAGCUGAGGAGAAACAGAAAGCUCAGCUGACAGAGAAGAAGGCCCAGAGAAAACAGGCCCUGUACUUUCUCCACUACUUCAGCUCAAUACCUGCACCAAAUGCAGCAGUCUUCCACACUAGAGGAGGACAUCUGAGCCACACUAGGUGAUGCUUAACACAGAGAAAGCACAAGUUAUAGUCUCAUGAGAUGGAAGGUUGUGAAGAACAGAAUAAACUCCCUUAGUUAGUGCUAUGCACAAAGGAUGAUUUAGGAAAGCAUUUUGAAGUGACGAAAGUAAAUUGAAAAUUAAGCAAUGCAAUUUUCAAAAAAAACUUUUACAAACUGUUUAAUCUGCUGCUUUCAGAAGAGCAUAUUCUGAAGUAGGAAGGAAUUGAGUUCUUGGUUUAUUUCACCUUUUCUGAUUGAAAUGCAGUCUCAUCUGCUGGAAAAUGGGCAUUCGGUAAGAACAACAUUAGGCUUGGUCAUACUGUCCUCCAAGAUAAAGAAAUCUACAAACAAGUGCUGUUCUAGAUUUGUGCUUGAUGAAUAGUCACUGAAGAAGACAUUUUAACUCUUCUUGCUGAAUCUCGAUGGAGUGGUCAAGCAAUUAAAAAAGAAUAGUUGCACUUCCCACUCCAUCAACAUCUGAUCCUAAUGUUUGAACAGCAAAUGAGGCAGCUGACAGACACAGGCAGGAGUCUCUUUCAUAAAAGGCUGUUGAGGUCCAAUAAUGUCAAUGGAUCCCAAAUUACAUUUUAAAUUCAUCCUGAGUUGUGGCUAGCCCAUGGAGUGAUAUCUGUUCUGAAGCUAGUGAAGACCCCCAGAGGUGACUGAAAUACUUUCCUUAGUGGGGCCAG